GACGAACGCUGGCGGCGUGCUUAACACAUGCAAGUCGAACGCUGAAGCUCAGCUUUUGUUGGGUGGAUGAGUGGCGAACGGGUGAGUAACACGUGAGUAACCUGCCCCCUUCUUUGGGAUAACGCCCGGAAACGGGUGCUCAUACUGGAUAUUCACUGGUCUUCGCAUGGGGGUUGGUGGAAAGGGUUUUUCUGGUGGGGGAUGGGCUCGCGGCCUAUCAGCUUGUUGGCGGGGUGAUGGCCUACCAAGGCUUUGACGGGUAGCCGGCCUGAGAGGGUGACCGGGCACAGUGGGACGGUGAUACGGCCCAGAGGCGGACGGGAGGCAGCAGUGGGGAAAAUGGGAGAAUGGGCGAAAGCCUAAUGCAGCGUGGCUGCGGAAGGGAUGGAGGCCGUCGGGUUCUGAACCUCGUUCACACAUGGUGAGGCCGCAACAAUGGUUGUGGUGACGGUAGUGGGUAAAGAAGCGCCGGCUAACUACGUG
rnacentral:rRNA from 1 species